UACGUAGGGGGCAAGCGUUGUCCGGAUUUAUUGGGCGUAAAGCGCUCGCAGGUGGUCCGAUGCGUCGUGCGUGAAAGCCCCCGGCUCAACUGGGGAGUGUCGUGCGAUACGGUCGGACUGGAGGCCAGUAGGGGGAUGCGGAAUGCCGGGUGUAGUGGUGAAAUGCGUAGAUAUCCGGCGGAACACCGGGUGGUGGAAGCGGCAUCCUGGGCCGAGGCCGACGCUGAGGCGCGAGAGCGUGGGGAGCGAACCGG
rnacentral:rRNA from 1 species